rnacentral:lncRNA from 1 species
CUGGUUUAUUAGACUGUGGGUUGGAAUAGAUACACAACUUUUAUCUUCAAUAAUAGAUGCUGAAAUUUCAAUUAGUCACUUUGUUUUUGUUUUUUGGUAUUGGGGAUCGAAUUCGGGUCCUUGUGCUUGCAAGGCAGGCGGUAGAACCACUGAGUGAAAUCCCCAGCCUAGCCACUUACUAUUUGUGACAAAUCUAUAUUCCAAUUUGAUAUUGCCACCUCUACAUUCUUAGAAUCUAAAGGGACACGUGGUGCCAUAGAGUGCGAGUCAUAAUCCGACAGUUCACAGAAAGAAAAGGAAAGGACCUGCUCCAGCCUCAGGCAGGGCUUGCACCACGGCCUGGGCCAUGCCCUGCUCGCUCCGCCCCCCUCCUGCUGGGCCCCUGUCUGCAGCACAGGCAGAAGGUUGCGGCUCGCGAUUAAAUCCCCAAGAACUGGAGCAGCUGAGAGGAUGGCCCAGGCUGAAACGCCCCACGCAGCCCCUGGGAGAGGGGUCCACCGUCAUCCUUGCAACACUUGCGGCUGUCUUGUUUGGGGUCAUUUUCUAUACAGUCGGUCACAGUUAAAUGAAGACGAUGGCCGUUUGCGCCCAGCCCCAGGACUGUGCGUGCUGCACACUGGCUCCGCCUCUGGAACCGCCCGCCCUUGGUGUGUUCUUUUCCCAGCACCCUUCAGAACGCAGGCGCUAACCGUCGGCCGGUCCUGUGGGGCUCCCUCUCACGGUCUGCUUCUCCCUGGCCACGCUUUCCUUCCCCUCCCCGUCCCCAUGUCCGUGCCCAGGCCUCUCCUGCCUCUCCCUCCCCAAGCGUGUGGGGAGCACCCAGUGCUGGGUGCCAGCUCGUUUCCUCCAGCAGCGCUGCUGCACCUCGUUCGCGGGAUGGAGGCAGCCGGAAACUUUCAUUUCAUUAUUGAAGGGGAGAAGAGGAACCUGAGGAGACUAACCCCACAACAGUGACAUUCCGUGUCAGUCUGACCUGGCCACGGUGCCGGCUGCUUGGUCAGACACCCGUCUGAGACGUUGCGGGGAAGGUGUGUGUGGGUGUCACUGACACCUGGCAGCUGACUUCGGGUUACGCUCCAUGCAGCCGGGCCUCCCCCUUCAGUUGGCCCACAGUGGGGCUGCACCCUCGCACACACCCUAAGACAGAGCUGUCCCGUCCUAGGAGUUUGAGUCAGCUAACUGGAUGUCAUCGCUUCGCCCUGCUAGCUUUCGGUGUGCUCCACACUCGGAUCAGGUCUUCUGACACAGAGCCUAUUCUGUGGUGAGGUGACAAGUAUCUGUGACAGUUAGCUAGACUAUCGGCUUGCCUGAUCGAGAGGGGCCUGCAUUAAUAAAGCGCACUUCUGUGUGUCUGGUCCCUGGUUCCACUGUCCCCGGCCCCUCCUCUCUGGCCCUUCCUUGCUGUCUGCUUCCCGUGUGCCAAGAGGUGAGCAGCUUCCUUCUGUCAGGCCUUGCUGCUGCGAUGUCUCUGCCUUGGGACCAGCUGGCCAUGGACUGAAACCAUGCACGAAAUGAAUCUCACCUCCUUUAAGCCACAGGUGCCGGGCGCUUGGUCCCAGCAACAGGAAAGCUGACAAAUACGCUAUCUCGGCAAUCUGCUGAAAUUCACGACAAUGCAGUGCGCUGUGGAACAUCGACGCUUACGCUCACGAUGGGCCAACUGACAGCGAGCUGGGGUUGUUGAAGUGCCCAGCGUUACCAGGGUCACACUGGCCCUGCUAGCCAGGAAAAGAUCAAAUUCAAAACACAGUCUCUACUGAAAGCACACUUCUGCACCAUGAUACGAUUAAAAGUUAUGUGUUGAACCAUUGUGAAUCUGGAGGUUGUCUGCCUGCCUGUCUGUGUAUAUCUAUCUAAUCCUAUUGAUUCUGACUCUCUGCAACAAUCCAUAGCAGCACUUUUCCCUCUCUUUUAUAUUAAACUAACUUUAUACAAUGAUAGGUCAAAUUCUUCUUCAAGAAACAAAGAUAAAGAUAAAGCCAGAUCCUCUUUGGCUACCUCCUUCUAGCUUGUUCAAUCCCCAUUUUCAG